rnacentral:lncRNA from 1 species
CAGCACCGCCAGUGCUCCCCAAAGGCUGACCACCUUCAGCCUCUCCUGGCUGAAGACACCUUUUUCUGUUGCAUUAUGGCCUGCACAGAAGUCUCCUCCUCCUCUACUCUGACACCAGCGGAGAAAUCUCUUCCCAAGAGCUAAUGGAGUUGCUCUUGUCAUUCAGCCAGCCUCCUGAGUACAAUUCUGUCAAGGUUCUUGUUUUGGAAGAAUUGAGGCCAAAUCACAUUAGCUGAAAGGAAUCUGCUUUUUCAUAUGAGGCUAGAUUGUGCUCUGCUCAGGGUGUUGGGAGGUGCUUCAUUGAGGUGUGCUUGCUUCUAGGGAGGUAGAGGAAUGGAUGGCUCCAGUUCCUGACAGUGGGAGACUGAUUAAAGACAGUCUAAGGUGGCUCUGUACAGUGUCAACUUGGGUAGGUUAAACUACAUUUCCCAGCAUUCCUUCCCUAUAUGCCCACGUGUUUCUGGUUAUGGUGGGUCACAGGGGACAUUCUUGUGGGAGACUUAUUGAGUAGAGUUGAAGUGGCAACCAUUUUAUAAUUUACACCAUUUGCUGCUUUAUCUGUUGGCUCCUCUCAUAGGCAUCAGGCAGCAACCAGGGCCCAACUCUCCCACUUUCCCUGAUCCUCCAGUUUCUCCAACUCCUGGGCUAAGUGGAUAUGGUUAGCCCAGUGAUGAAGGAUUCUGGUUUUGGUAGGACAUCCGUACAACCAAGGUCAGAGGCAACAAGUACUGACAGGUGCCUAUUGUUUGUCUAUCUCAUUGGUCUCAUUGGGAAGCAUCUGCUUGAGAAUUCCGGCAAUGCAGAAAAAAAGUGGAG